CGCAUCGGAAAACCCUGAUGUCAUUGUAAUUUAAAGAAUGCUAUUGAUCUAUUCAAAUCAAUGAGUCAAUCAAAUUAGGAACUAGUAGAGUGGGAAAUUUUUUCAAACUGAAGUAUAUAUAGAGGGAACAAAGGAGUAUUUUACAUAAUUUUGAGCGAGGAGAAAUGGGAAAUUGGAGCAGCACAGAAAAAGAAAGCGAGCAGUACGGUGGAUGGAGUUACGGGGAAGGCGGCGGCCGAGGCUGUGGUGGCGGUGAUGGCGACGGAUGCGGGAGUGGGGGCGGUGGGGGUGGAGGAGAUGGAGGUGGAGGAGCUCAGUGUAAUGGAGGGAGGUGUAAAGGAGGUAGUUGUGGAAGUAGGUGUGGAGGUAACAAGUGACGUUACCCUUGGGAAGUCUACUUUUUAAAAAUUAUAUUCUCCAAACAUUUGCCGAUUCUAGAACUUAUAUGAAUUGUGCUAGUAUAUAUAUGUAUAUUUCUAAUGCUUCUUUCAAUUAUCCAUCAUGAUGUUUAAUAAAAAAAAAAUCAUAUAUUUUUUUCUGUAUUCAGUCUAUCACUUUUGGUAAUAAACUCUUGUAAUAAAAUUAA